CAGCAGCCGCGGUAAUACGGAGGGUGCAAGCGUUAUCCGGAAUCACUGGGCGUAAAGGGCGCGUAGGCGGCCUGUUAAGUCCGAUGUGAAAUCCCGGGGCUCAACCCCGGAACUGCAUCCGAUACUGCCAUGCUAGAGGAUUGGAGAGGUAGCUGGAAUUCUUGGUGUAGCAGUGAAAUGCGUAGAGAUCAAGAGGAACACUCGUGGCGAAAGCGAGCUACUGGACAACUCCUGACGCUGAGGCCCGAAGGCCAGGGUAGCGAAAGGGAUUAGAUACCCCUGUAGUCCUGGCAGUAAACGGUGCACGCUUGGUGUGAGGGGAAUCGACCCCCCUCUGUGCCGGAGCUAACGCGUUAAGCGCACCGCCUGGGAAGUACGGCCGCAAGGCUAAAACUCAAA
rnacentral:rRNA from 1 species